CAAGCUCUGCGGUGUGCGUGAUAAUUCGGUAUUAAAACCCACGAUAGAAUAAAGGGGAUCCGGCUUCCUGAUGUGGGAUGCAGGCCUCCCGUAACCGGCAGCUUGCCGGUUGCGGACGUUGGAAGCGCAAAGCUCAGGAGAGGAUAUACCCGCCUUGCGAGAGCAGGGUUUCUAAUCGCCGGGUUACACGGCACGGUGGGGCGCUU
rnacentral:other from 1 species